UACGUAGGGUGCAAGCGUUGUCCGGAAUUAUUGGGCGUAAAGAGCUUGUAGGCGGUUUGUCGCGUCUGCUGUGAAAUUUCGGGGCUCAACCCCGAACUUGCAGUGGGUACGGGCAGACUAGAGUGUGGUAGGGGGAGACUGGAAUUCCUGGUGUAGCGGUGAAAUGCGCAGAUAUCAGGAGGAACACCGAUGGCGAAGGCAGGUCUCUGGGCCACUACUGACGCUGAGGAACGAAAGCGUGGGGAGCGAACAGG
rnacentral:rRNA from 1 species